rnacentral:rRNA from 1 species
AACGCGAAGAACCUUACCAGCCCUUGACAUGUCCGGUAUGGGCGGGGGAGACCCCACCCUUCAGUUCGGCUGGCCGGAACACAGGUGCUGCAUGGCUGUCGUCAGCUCGUGUCGUGAGAUGUUGGGUUAAGUCCCGCAACGAGCGCAACCCCCAUCUUCAGUUGCCAUCGGGUAGAGCCGGGCACUCUGAAGAAACUGCCGGUGACAAGCCGGAGGAAGGCGGGGAUGACGUCAAGUCCUCAUGGCCCUUAUGGGCUGGGCUACACACGUGCUACAAUGGCGGUGACAGAGGGCGGCGCGGCAGCGAUGCCCAGCCAAUCUCGAAAAGCCGUCUCAGUUCGGAUUGCUCUCUGCAACUCGAGAGCAUGAAGUCGGAAUCGCUAGUAAUGGCGCAUCAGCUACGGCGCCGUGAAUACGUUCCCGGGCCUUGUACACACCGCGCAUA